GCCAACUUAGCUCAGCUGGUAGAGCACUUGACUUGUAAUCAUGAGGUCGUCGGUUCAAGUCCGACAGUUGGCU
rnacentral:tRNA from 1 species